AUACGUAGGGUGCGAGCGUUGUCCGGAAUUACUGGGCGUAAAGAGCUCGUAGGUGGUUUGUCGCGUCGUCUGUGAAAUUCCGGGGCUUAACUCCGGGCGUGCAGGCGAUACGGGCAUAACUUGAGUACUGUAGGGGAGACUGGAAUUCCUGGUGUAGCGGUGAAAUGCGCAGAUAUCAGGAGGAACACCGGUGGCGAAGGCAGGUUCCGGGGCUGUAUCUGGCUGUGGUGAGCGAAAUCAUGGGUACCGAAUGUCAUGAUUUACCGGGUGACUCCGGGCCGUAAGCGGUGGGCGCUAGGUGUAGGGGUCUGCCACGAUUUGUGUGCCUUAGCUAACGCAUUAAGGGCCCCGCCUGGGGAGUACGGCCGCAAGGCUAAAGCUCAAAUGAAUUGACGGGG
rnacentral:rRNA from 1 species